AGAGUUUGAUCAUGGCUCAGAACGAACGCUGGCGGCGUGCUUAACACAUGCAAGUCGAGUGCGCGGUUGUAGCAAUACAACUGGCGCACGGCGCACGGGUGCGUAACACGUGGGUAACCUGCCCUUUGGUGGGGAAUAACUCCGCGAAAGCGGAGCUAAUUCCGCAUAAGAUCCGCAAGGAUGAAAGCCGCAAGGCGCCGAAGGAGGGGCCCGCGCCCGAUUAGCUAGUUGGUGAGGUAAUGGCUCACCAAGGCUUUGAUCGGUAGCUGGUCUGAGAGGAUGAUCAGCCACACUGGAACUGAGACACGGUCCAGACUCCUACGGGAGGCAGCAGUGGGGAAUCUUGCACAAUGGGCGAAAGCCUGAUGCAGCGACGCCGCGUGGGGGAUGAAGCAUUUCGGUGUGUAAACCCCUUUCGAUCCGGACGAAACCCCGCAAGGGAUUGACGGUACGGAUAUAAGAAGCCCCGGCUAACUACGUGCCAGCAGCCGCGGUAAGACGUAGGGGGCCAGCGUUGUUCGGAAUUACUGGGUGUAAAGGGUUCGUAGGCGGUGCGGCAAGUUGGGAGUGAAAUCUCUGGGCUUAACCCAGAGGCUGCUUCCAAAACUGCUGAGCUUGAGUGUGGGAGAGGCGCGUGGAAUUGCAGGUGUAGCGGUGAAAUGCGUAGAUAUCUGCAGGAACACCCGUGGCGAAAGCGGCGCGCUGGACCACUACUGACGCUGAGGAACGAAAGCUAGGGGAGCAAACAGGAUUAGAUACCCUAGUAGUCC
rnacentral:rRNA from 1 species